GACGAACGCUGGCGGCGUGCUUAACACAUGCAAGUCGAACGAUGAAGCUCUAGCUUGCUGGGGUGGAUUAGUGGCGAACGGGUGAGUAACACGUGAGUAACCUGCCCUUUACUUCGGGAUAAGCUUGGGAAACUGGGUCUAAUACCGGAUAUUCUGCGUGAUCGGAUGGUUGUGUAGGAAAGAUUUUUUGGUAAGGGAUGGGCUCGCGGCCUAUCAGUUUGUUGGUGGGGUGAUGGCCUACCAAGACGACGACGGGUAGCCGGCCUGAGAGGGCGACCGGCCACACUGGGACUGAGACACGGCCCAGACUCCUACGGGAGGCAGCAGUGGGGAAUAUUGCAAAUGGGGGGAAACCCUGAUGCAGCGACGCCGCGUGGGGGAUGACGGCCUUCGGGUUGUAAACCUCUUUCAGUAGGGGAGAAGCGAAAGUGACGGUACCUGCAGAAGAAGUACCCGGUGAUAAAUGGCGCCGCAGCCGCGGUAAUACGUAGGGUACUAGCGUUGUCCGGAAUUAUUGGGCGUAAAGAGCUCGUAGGUGGUUUGUCGCGUCUGCUGUGGAAACGUGCCGCUUAACGGUGCGCGUGCAGUGGGUACGGGCGGACUAGAGUGCAGUAGGGGAGUCUGGAAUUCCUGGUGUAGCGGUGAAAUGCGCAGAUAUCAGGAGGAACACCGGUGGCGAAGGCGGGACUCUGGGCUGUUACUGACGCUGAGGAGCGAAAGCAUGGGGAGCGAACAGGAUUAGAUACCCUGGUAGUCCAUGCCGUAAACGUUGGGCACUAGGUGUGGGGUCCAUUCCACGGAUUCUGCGCCGUAGCUAACGCAUUAAGUGCCCCGCCUGGGGAGUACGGCCGCAAGGCUAAAACUCAAAGGAAUUGACGGGGGCCCGCACAAGCGGCGGAGCAUGCGGAUUAAUUCGAUGCAACGCGAAGAACCUUACCAAGGCUUGACAUGCACUAGACCAUCGCAGAGAUGUGGUUUUCUUUUUGACUGGUGUACAGGUGGUGCAUGGUUGUCGUCAGCUCGUGUCGUGAGAUGUUGGGUUAAGUCCCGCAACGAGCGCAACCCUCGUUCUAUGUUGCCAGCACGUGAUGGUGGGAACUCAUGGGAGACUGCCGGGGUCAACUCGGAGGAAGGUGGGGAUGACGUCAAAUCAUCAUGCCCUUUAUGUCUUGGGCUUCACGCAUGCUACAAUGGCCGGUACAGAGGGUGGCGAUACCGUGAGGUGGAGCGAAUCUCUUAAAGCCGGUCUCAGUUCGGAUCGUAGUCUGCAACUCGACUACGUGAAGUCGGAGUCGCUAGUAAUCGCAGAUCAGCAAUGCUGCGGUGAAUACGUUCCCGGGCCU
rnacentral:rRNA from 1 species